rnacentral:rRNA from 1 species
GACGAACGCUGGCGGCGUGCCUAAUACAUGCAAGUAGAACGCUGAAGCGAGGAGCUUGCUCUUCUUGGAUGAGUUGCGAACGGGUGAGUAACGCGUAGGUAACCUGCCUUGUAGCGGGGGAUAACUAUUGGAAACGAUAGCUAAUACCGCAUAACAAUAGGUGACACAUGUCAUUUAUUUGAAAGGGGCAAUUGCUCCACUACAAGAUGGACCUGCGUUGUAUUAGCUAGUAGGUGAGGUAACGGCUCACCUAGGCGACGUUACAUAGCCGACCUGAGAGGGCGAUCGGCCACACUGGGACUGAGACACGGCCCAGAGUCCUACGGGAGGCAGCAGUAGGGAAUCGUCGGCAAUGGGGGCAACCCUGACCGAGCAACGCCGCGGGAGUGAAGAAGGUUGUCGGAUCGUAAAGCUCUGUUGUAAGUCAAGAACGAGUGUGAGAGUGGAAAGUUCACACUGUGACGGUAGCUGACCAGAAAGGGACGGCUAACUACGUG